AGAGCCAUUAGAUAAUGGACAUUAAGUAAGGUAGUGUCAGGAGAUAUGGACAUUAAGUAAGGUAGAGCCAGGAGAUAUUGACAUUAAGUAAGGUAGAGCCAGGAGAUAUUGACAUUAAGUAAGGUAGAGCCAGGAGAUACUGACAUUAAGUAAGGUAGAGCCAGGAGAUAUGGACAUUAAGUAAGGUAGAGCCAGGAGAUAUUGACAUUAAGUAAGGUAGAGUCAGGAGAUAUUGACUUUAGUAAGGUAGAGCCAUGACAUAUUGACAGUAAGUAAGGUAGAGGCAUGAGAUAUUUUGUCUAAUGUCAGUAAAUUACAAAUGGACAAGAAACAAAGUAAGCUUAUUGCCACAGUUGUCAUACAAACUCAUAGCAUGACAGUCCAGUUGUUGUAGUCCAUGUUAUUGAUUUCAAGUGAUACAAGUAUUCUUUCAUGCAAGCAAGCCUUAUGAAGGUCAUUGCACAGUGCCUAGUGGGCGGAAGUACCUGGUACACUUUAACCUAAUUAGGGUUGGACUGAGCUAAGACUCCCCUUGGACUCAGCAUAAAAAUAACAACAGUGCACCCAUAACUUGUCAGUUUCUAAGUCAUGUUUGGCACGCAACAGCAAUGAAUCUACCACAAACACUGAUAAAGUAUGUGAGAGGUAUCUGUUGAUUUGAUUAAACAUAAGGUGGUGACGGGGCUACUUUUGUGUUUGCUUGUCUGAUGCAACCACUAUCCCAGUGUAUGCCCAUCACUGUUGUGUGCAUGCACAAGAUAGUAUCUUUAGGUAGCUGCCAAAACAAGCAUGUGUCAUGCAAAUACUUGCUUGUUACCUAUCAAACAUCUUAUCAUUUCUCUAAUUAUUUUUACUCUUUCAGAAUUACUUGUGAUCAUGUCAUGAUGUUGUUGUCUGUGGUGGUGAAUAAAUGUGACUAGGUAGCACUGGGUUAGGUCUGCCACCACAGUAAGUUGCUUCGAGAUGGGGCACAUUGUUCGACAUCUCACCCCAAUAAUCUGGUUCCAGACUGGAAACAGUCUUAGAUAUACAACCUCUACAAUCUAGAUCUAAGUGAGGCAUAUUUUUAGAUAUGGCACCCUCACAGGUGGACGUAAGUGGGGAGUUGUUAAUGAAUGAAUAUGGUACCAAGAGGUGUGUCCAGUAGUAGAGAGAGGUGUCACAGUAACUUGGGUGUCCAGUAGUAGAAAGAGGUGUCACAGUAACUUGGGUGUCCAGUAGUAGAGAGAGGUGUCACAGUAACUUGGGUGUCCAGUAGUAGGGAGAGGUGUCACAGUAACUUGGGUGUCAAGGAUUAGAGAGAGGUGUCACAGUAACUUGGGUGUCCAGUAGUAGAGAGAGGUGUCACAGCAACUUGGGUGUCCAGUAGUAGAGAGAGGUGUCACAGUAACUUGGGUGUCCAGUAGUAGAGAGAGGUGUCACAGUAACUUGGGUGUCCAGUAGUAGAGAUAGGUGUCACAGUAACUUGGGUGUCCAGUAGUAGAGAGAGGUGUCACAGUAACUUGGGUGUCAAGGAUAAGAGAGAGGUGUCACAGUAACUUGGGUGUCCAGUAGUAGGGAGAGGUGUCCAGUAGUAGAGAGAGGUGUCACAGUAACUUGGGUGUCCAGUAGUAGAGAGAGGUGUCACAGUAACUUGGGUGUCCAGUAGUAGAGAGAGGUGUCACAGUAACUUGGGUGUCCAGUGAAUGCCAUGCUUGUAUCUGAGGCCUUGUUUCCUUGCUUCAUCUAUCUCCUUGACCUAUGAACUGUUGUAUAUGUCUGAUCUUACCCUACUGAUUGUCUAACUCCUGCU